CUACGGGAGGCUCCAGUGAGGAAUAUUGCACAAUGGAGGAAACUCUGAUGCAGCAACGCCGCGUGGAGGAUGACGCAUUUCGGUGUGUAAACUCCUUUUAUAUGUCAAGAAAAUGACGGUAGCAUAUGAAUAAGCACCGGCUAACUCCGUGCCAGCAGCCGCGGUAAUACGGAGGGCGCAAGCGUUACUCGGAAUCACUGGGCGUAAAGGACGCGUAGGCGGGAUAUCAAGUCAGGUGUGAAAUCCUACAGCUUAACUGUAGAACUGCACUUGAAACUGGUAACCUAGAGUAUGGGAGGGGGAGAUGGAAUUAGUGGUGUAGGGGUAAAAUCCGUAGAUAUCACUAGGAAUACCUAAAGCGAAGGCGAUCUCCUGGAACAUAACUGACGCUAAGGCGUGAAAGCGUGGGGAGCAAACAGGAUUAGAUACCCGGGUAGUA
rnacentral:rRNA from 1 species